UGUUUCGGCUAGGGGGUCAUCCCGACUUACCAACCCGAUGCAAACUACGAAUACCGAAGAAUGUUAUCACGGGAGACACACGGCGGGUGCUAACGUCCGUCGUGAAGAGGGAAACAACCCAGACCGCCAGCUAAGGUCCCAAAGUCAUGGUUAAGUGGGAAACGAUGUGGGAAGGCACAGACAGCCAGGAUGUUGGCUUAGAAGCAGCCAUCAUUUAAAGAAAGCGUAAUAGCUCACUGGUCGAGUCGGCCUGCGCGGAAGAUGUAACGGGGCUAAACCAUGCACCGAAGCUGCGGCAGCGACACUAUGUGUUGUUGGGUAGGGGAGCGUUCUGUAAGCCUGCGAAGGUGACCUGUGAGGGUUGCUGGAGGUAUCAGAAGUGCGAAUGCUGACAUAAGUAACGAUAAAGCGGGUGAAAAGCCCGCUCGCCGGAAGACCAAGGGUUCCUGUCCAACGUUAAUCGGGGCAGGGUGAGUCGACCCCUAAGGCGAGGCCGAAAGGCGUAGUCGAUGGGAAACAGGUUAAUAUUCCUGUACUUGGUGUUACUGCGAAGGGGGGACGGAGAAGGCUAUGUUAGCCGGGCGACGGUUGUCCCGGUUUAAGCAUGUAGGCUGGUUGUCCAGGC
rnacentral:rRNA from 1 species